rnacentral:rRNA from 1 species
ACGCUCGACACCUACGGGAGGCAGCAGUGGGGAAUAUUGCACAAUGGGGGAAACCCGUGAUGCAGCGACGCCGCGUGAGCGAAGAAGUAUUUCGGUAUGUAAAGUUCUAUCAGCAGGGAAGAAACUGACGGUACCUGACUAAGAAGCACCGGCUAAAUACGUGCCAGCAGCCGAGGUAAUCUGAGGCGGGCUGGCAAGGC